rnacentral:rRNA from 1 species
GGGUUGUGAGGUUAAGCGACUAAGCGUACACGGUGGAUGCCCUGGCAGUCAGAGGCGAUGAAGGACGUGCUAAUCUGCGAUAAGCGUCGGUAAGGUGAUAUGAACCGUUAUAACCGGCGAUUUCCGAAUGGGGAAACCCAGUGUGUUUCGACACACUAUCAUUAACUGAAUCCAUAGGUUAAUGAGGCGAACCGGGGGAACUGAAACAUCUAAGUACCCCGAGGAAAAGAAAUCAACCGAGAUUCCCCCAGUAGCGGCGAGCGAACGGGGAGCAGCCCAGAGCCUGAAUCAGUGUGUGUGUUAGUGGAAGCGUCUGGAAAGGCGCGCGAUACAGGGUGACAGCCCCGUACACAAAAAUGCACAUACUGUGAGCUCGAUGAGUAGGGCGGGACACGUGGUAUCCUGUCUGAAUAUGGGGGGACCAUCCUCCAAGGCUAAAUACUCCUGACUGACCGAUAGUGAACCAGUACCGUGAGGGAAAGGCGAAAAGAACCCCGGCGAGGGGAGUGAAAAAGAACCUGAAACCGUGUACGUACAAGCAGUGGGAGCACGCUUAGGCGUGUGACUGCGUACCUUUUGUAUAAUGGGUCAGCGACUUAUAUUCUGUAGCAAGGUUAACCGAAUAGGGGAGCCGAAGGGAAACCGAGUCUUAACUGGGCGUUAAGUUGCAGGGUAUAGACCCGAAACCCGGUGAUCUAGCCAUGGGCAGGUUGAAGGUUGGGUAACACUAACUGGAGGACCGAACCGACUAAUGUUGAAAAAUUAGCGGAUGACUUGUGGCUGGGGGUGAAAGGCCAAUCAAACCGGGAGAUAGCUGGUUCUCCCCGAAAGCUAUUUAGGUAGCGCCUCGUGAAUUCAUCUCCGGGGGUAGAGCACUGUUUCGGCAAGGGGGUCAUCCCGACUUACCAACCCGAUGCAAACUGCGAAUACCGGAGAAUGUUAUCACGGGAGACACACGGCGGGUGCUAACGUCCGUCGUGAAGAGGGAAACAACCCAGACCGCCAGCUAAGGUCCCAAAGUCAUGGUUAAGUGGGAAACGAUGUGGGAAGGCCCAGACAGCCAGGAUGUUGGCUUAGAAGCAGCCAUCAUUUAAAGAAAGCGUAAUAGCUCACUGGUCGAGUCGGCCUGCGCGGAAGAUGUAACGGGGCUAAACCAUGCACCGAAGCUGCGGCAGCGACGCUUAUGCGUUGUUGGGUA